rnacentral:tmRNA from 1 species
GGGGCUGCCCUGGUUUCGACGUGGGUUCGGAAUCGGUGUGGUGCAUGUCGAGCUUGAGUGGCGCUCGUAAAUCUGCAUUCGACAAACUAACUGCAAACGACGAACGUUUCGCACUCGCCGCUUAAACACCGGUGAGCCUUGCAACAGCACGCUGACGGGCUGGGCAAGGGGGCCGCAAGGCCUCCCCGGCUGCAAGGUUAUUCACGUCAGCUGGCCUCCUGCCGGGUACCUUGGCAUGGGGCGAGAUCCAAGGGUGCUGGCCUUCCUUGCAGCGUGCGGCUGCGCGGCUUGGAAGGUGAGAUCCAAAACAGACCGCUAAACAUGUAGAUCUGCCCGAAGAAGGCUUGCGGACGCGGGUUCAAUUCCCGCCAGCUCCACCA